AGUUUGAUUAUGGCUCAGGAUGAACGCUAGCGGCAGGCUUAACACAUGCAAGUCGAGGGGCAGCAUUUCUAGCUUGCUAGAAGAUGGCGACCGGCGCACGGGUGAGUAACGCGUAUGCAACCUACCUUAUACUGGGGGAUAGCCCAGAGAAAUCUGGAUUAAUACCGCAUAACAAUGUUUUAUCGCAUGGUAAGAUAUUUAAAACUCCGGUGGUAUAAGAUGGGCAUGCGUAGCAUUAGUUAGUUGGUGAGGUAACGGCUCACCAAGACGAUGAUGCUUAGGGGGUCUGAGAGGAUAGUCCCCCACACUGGUACUGAGACACGGACCAGACUCCUACGGGAGGCAGCAGUGAGGAAUAUUGGUCAAUGGACGCAAGUCUGAACCAGCCAUGUCGCGUGCAGGAUGACGGCCCUAUGGGUUGUAAACUGCUUUUUUACAGGAAUAAUUGUCGCUACGUGUAGUGAUUUGAAUGUACUGUAUGAAUAAGGAUCGGCUAACUCCGUGCCAGCAGCCGCGGUAAUACGGAGGAUUCGAGCGUUAUCCGGAUUUAUUGGGUUUAAAGGGUCCGUAGGCGGUCUUUUAAGUCAGUGGUGAAAUCCCAGAGCUCAACUCUAGAACUGCCAUUGAAACUGAAAGACUUGAAUAUGGUUGAGGUAGGCGGAAUACGUUAUGUAGCGGUGAAAUGCAUAGAUAUAACGUAGAACACCAAUUGCGAAGGCAGCUUACUAAACCAUUAUUGACGCUGAUGGACGAAGCGUGGGAGCGA
rnacentral:rRNA from 1 species